rnacentral:rRNA from 1 species
GAUGAACGCUAGCGGCAGGCUUAAUACAUGCAAGUCGAGGGGUAACAGAGGAGCUUGCUUCUGCUGACGACCGGCGUACGGGUGCGUUACGCGUAUGCAACCUGCCUAUUACUAAGGGAUAGCCCGUGGAAACAUGGAUUAAUACCUUAUGGUAUCAUAAGCCUUCAUGGGUUAAUGAUUAAAGAUUUAUCGGUAAUAGAUGGGCAUGCGUGACAUUAGCUAGUUGGUAAGGUAAUGGCUUACCAAGGCUACGAUGUCUAGGGGACCUGAGAGGGUGAUCCCCCACACUGGUACUGAGACACGGACCAGACUCCUACGGGAGGCAGCAGUAGGGAAUAUUGGUCAAUGGAGGCAACUCUGAACCAGCCAUGCCGCGUGCAGGAAGACGGCUUUCUGAGUUGUAAACUGCUUUUAUACAGGAAGAGAUAGCCAUGCGUGGUGAAGAGACGGUACUGUAUGAAUAAGCACCGGCUAACUCCG